rnacentral:lncRNA from 1 species
ACAGAGCCACACAUUUCCUGCCUCUCAGCUGUCUGUGCUUGCUGAUGUCUGACCUAAAUGACCUUAACAGAGCCAACCAGGGUGACAGUGGCACUACUGAGAAAUGCCUGAAACUUCUCUUUGAAAGCCCAAUGCUGGGUAUCAGAUGAUGAUGACGAUGAUGAUGAUGAUGAUGAUGAUGAUGAUGAUGAUGAUGAUGAUGGUGAUCAUAUCCAGAGAGAAGCAAAGUGAAUGUGCCCUGGACAACUUUCAGGAAGACAGUUCUGGUCUGUAGCAAUUAACACAUGGUCAUCCUCAGAAAAAGGAGAUACCCAUAACUUAAAAUGCAGGAACCAAGAGAUUUGAGCCUAGACAUUUGGAUGAAAAGCGAUUUCCACCUGGAGAAAGUCACUGCCCUUCUGUGCAGAGUACCAUUGUGUCUUGAAUCCAGCUUGGCCAUAAGGAAAUGGGGCGAGACUUUGUCAUGUAUGUCGCUGAAGUUCAGCUAUGCAAAAAUGUUCACCUAUCCUUGAUCAACCAGUCCAGGAACCAUCAAAGAAGAAAAUGAGAUUCGACUUAGAAGACCUGUUCUUUAUAAACCCCUGCACAGCCCUAAUGAUCAACACCACUUCCAGUGCUCAUAAAUUACUGCUUCAAUAAUUGUUCUGCAAUUCUGCCUAUUCUCAUUGAAUGCUUCGUAUAAUCCCUUUAUUUACUUUGGGCUACGAUUCAUUUUUAUCAGUCAAAUGACUACUAGACUAUCCUGGUUUCUAAUUUGAAAUGUAUCCAAAGAAGAUUCCUGUCUCACCCUCUGCAAUCCACUUGCAUGUCUGACCACACUCGGUGCCUACACAAUCUUCACUUUGUCUAGCCUAAAUUCUUCUAACUGUGGCCUAAGGCCUUGGAAGAAUGAUGCCUCUGUGGGGUAAGAACUGCCUUCGUGGCAUAAGAAAGGCAGACCUGGGUGAUCUGGAAGGGCUGUUGCAAGGGGAUAGGAGUGCUGAGGCCUUUUCCAUUAAGAAUACACAGGACUAUGGAGACUCUUGUUUUACUAGAAACUUCUUCACAGAUACCUUAAAUUAGGAAGAAAAUGCCUUUGGUUCUUGGUUCUACUAUUGGCUUCAAAUUCUUAGGCAUGCCAGACCCUACUGAACAUCUUGACACAUGUCCUUUCUUCUCUGAACUGGCGCACAGGCAUGGUGAGUAACU